UACGGGGGGGGCAAGCGUUGUUCGGAAUUACUGGGCGUAAAGGGCGCGUGGGCGGCCUACUAAGUCGGACGUGAAAUCCCUCGGCUCAACCGAGGAACUGCGUCCGAUACUGGCAGGCUGGAAUCCGGGAGAGGGAUGCGGAAUUCCAGGUGUAGCGGUGAAAUGCGUAGAUAUCUGGAGGAACACCGGUGGCGAAGGCGGCAUCCUGGACCGGUAUUGACGCUGAGGCGCGAAAGCUAGGGGAGCAAACGGG
rnacentral:rRNA from 1 species